CGUCCCCUUCCACUCGCUCUCCUCCAUGAGCCGGAUCCCCACCUCCUCCGGCUCCCGUGAAGGCCGAGGUGGACGUUCGAUGGCCUCGGCUCCCGGAUUCCGCACACCCACUCCGCUCCAUCUGCUCUGAUCUGAUUCAAUAUCGGCUUCCUCCUCAAGCCACGCGACGCGAGACCAGCUCCGGCUCCCGCUCCGGCCAUGGCGGCGACCAACCAGUCCGUGAAGGCCGCCAGAUCUUCGACACCCGCGGCAACCCCACCAUCGAGGUGUCUAUGAAGCUUUGGAGCUGAGGGACGGUGGAUCUGACUACUUGGGCUAGGGUGUUUCCAAGGUUUACAUUCGUUUGACCGAAUUAUAUACCACCGUAGAAUUCUACACCAUGUGGUGGACUUAAGUAUCUUAGUGACUUCAUUUGAUGUGUGUAUUUCUGUUAAUUUUAAGCUUUUGUUGCUCUGAAAAUGUACCUCACUGACCGUUUGUCUAUUUAUUGUGUACUUCUUGCAUGAGGAUGUGACUAGUGAUGCGACGUGCCAAGCAGCAGUAGGGGAAGGGGGUCUCCUGCUUGAGGAGGCGGAGUAGGGGCGUGCCCAGCUGGCAGCCCUGUCCUGCUCGUGGGGGAGGGGCAGGAGGGGUCUGCUCCCCUGCUUCCAUUGUGACCGUGGCAGGAAUCAAUGAUGCCGACCUCAUUGCUGGGCACUGUGCUUUUGGUGUAUGAUAUGGCUGGGAGAAAACACACAGUUCCCUGCUGGUUUAUUACAUAUCAGCCAGUACUGUACGGAGUAGUAUAUAAGGAUGUCUUACUGUAGUAUGGCUGAGGCAGUGACCAGCUUGGUAGUUAGUACUAGCUGAGAAAAUUCAUGAUGCUGGCUGGGAGCAAAAAGUUUAUAGGCUUAGUUGCUGUAUUGGUUCUGUUGUUGUAUGUGGAUAUAUGCAUAGAUAUGUAACAUGUGGGUUCCAAGCAUGCUUCCGAGAAAAAGUAAAAUUAUAUAUACAAUUUAAACAUUGUACAUCUGCCGUUCUUGUGGAAUGCAAGUUAUUUUAGGUGUGUGUUCUGACUUCUGACUGCUUACUAGAUGGAUACAUGCAGCUAGCUAGCAACCUAGCAGUAAUAGUAAGAAUACAUGUGACUAAUUCCCUCCCUAUACCUUGUGAUUGAUUCCAGGUAUAUACAGAUGGCAUCUCUGUCUGGCAACAUAUGCACCUGAUUACAUUCUGGUGCAUAUAGUAUACUUGAACAGUGUAAACAUAUAGUAUACUUGAACAGUGUAAACAUAUAGUAUACUUGAACAGUGUAAACAUAUUCUGGUCUGAAUCUUGUUUUGAAACUACUGUAUUUCGUAGUGAUGCAUGAGAUCUAAGCAGCAU